rnacentral:lncRNA from 15 species
AUGGACAUAGUAAUUAAUGGAAGAAAACCGACAGAGGAAAUAAACAAGUGUUUCUAUGUGACUGGAGAUCUGGAAAAAAGCAAAGACUCGCUUAAACAGCCACAGGAGGGAAGAAAGAGUGAAAAUAUCUGGCUUUGUUGUCUCUGCCUCGCUGAGCUCCCGGCUGCACCUGCGGCUGUUUGCCCAGCAAUCUUCUCCUGGACUGAGAGGAACGGUUGGAAGCAGGUGGAGGUAAAGGCUUCUGGAGGGGAUAAGGUGUGGAAACACAGAAUACGAUAGUGGAAAGGAAUGGUUUUCAGACAUAAUCCUAUUGAUUUAUUAUAAUUUGCUUGUAUUUUGCAGCAGCCUGCCCCCUCUUGUAAAAUGUUAAAAGUCCCCCUUGGCUCAAAACUCAGUAUCUCUCGUUCCUACAGUUGGAUGUUUGAGCUUCACUGUGCAGAAUGAUGUAUGUGCAGAGACACCAGACACUAGAAGAAUGUUUUCGGUCCGUGUAUGUUUUGGUCAUUGGAUUUUCCUUUCAGAAACGGAUAUUAAAAAACAGAAAACGAGUGCUUAUUUGAUUUUCGUUUUAAAAUACAAAAAUUAAAAUUGAAAUACAAGGCGUUUUUCUUUUUGAUGGUCAAAAAGGGAUGAGCGAACUUUAAAAAAUUAUUCGAUUUUCAUUUUCUAUUUCAUAUAACAAAAAAUAAAAUCACUAGAAAACAGAAACAGAAAAAAGGCCUGUUGUUUCAUAUUCUGAGACCGGAUGUUGUCAUUUACAGGACGGUGCUGUGUAGAAGAAACAGUAGGCUAGUAGACUGCGGUCAAUCCAGCCGUGAGUCCUAUCUCCGUGGUCAAAUCAGCCGCACCUAAAUGUCCAGUGUACAAGUAUUCUCAGCAUUAUGGUAAAUGCGGAGAAACAGCGUAUUUACUUCUGGUUUUCAAAAUAAAGGUAUUUAGAACAGUAAGCUAUAAUUAAAAUAUGUUACGUUAAAGUCUUGUGCCCCUGAUGAAUAAAAAAAAACUUUAUAUCAAGUAUCUUUACUGCACCAGUGUGGAGAAAUGCCAAAAUAAAAGUCUCAUAUUUAUGCCUCCAGAGAUUGCAUAUUUGACCAUAUUUGAGGUACUGUAAAAACAUAUUGCUCAGUGUUUCCUGGCUACUGAUGGUUUAUUUGACUUUUACACAUAUGAGACUACAAGCAUACUUAAUAUCAAGCAUUUUUAUUGUACCACUUUGGAGAAAUUCAACAAUAAAAGUCCCAUAUUUGUACCUCCAUGUGGUAUUUUCAUAUAUUUGAGCUACUGUAAAAACACUUUGCUCAAUAAUUCCUGGCUAUGGAUGGUAUAUUUGACUUCUACACAUCUAAGACUACAAGUAUACUUAAUAUCAAGCAUUUUUACUGUACCAAUGUGGAGAAAUUGAAGAAUAAAAGUCCCAUAUUUAUACUUCCAGAUUCCAUAUUUUCUUAGAUGCACCUUUAUUGAUCCCCCCUGUAGGAGAAAUUCAAAUUAGACACAGCAGCAUANNNNNNNNNNNNNNNNNNNNGAGGUAAAGGCUUCUGGAGGGGAUAAGGUGUGGAAACACAGAAUACGAUAGUGGAAAGGAAUGGUUUUCAGACAUAAUCCUAUUGAUUUAUUAUAAUUUGCUUGUAUUUUGCAGCAGCCUGCCCCCUCUUGUAAAAUGUUAAAAGUCCCCCUUGGCUCAAAACUCAGUAUCUCUCGUUCCUACAGUUGGAUGUUUGAGCUUCACUGUGCAGAAUGAUGUAUGUGCAGAGACACCAGACACUAGAAGAAUGUUUUCACAUUGAUCUGCUGAUUAUUGUUCAAAGCAGACUAAUUGUAUAUGUCUUAAUACAUGUCUGGAGGGGAUCUUUAAAUCACAGAGUAUCGAUUGGGCAUAUAUUUACACUGUAAUGUGCAUUCAAAUAGUGAUACGUUACUGAUAAGUGACUGAGUGGAAUAAACCCUUCAUGAAGGUCUUUUGUUUUUACCAGCUUGGACUCCUCUGACCACUUGGUGGCACAGUAGUUCCACAGCUUUAAACAAACCCCCCUUGGACUCAGUUUAAAUCAAAACUAAGACAAAAACAAAAAAAAACAAAGGAGCUCCACAUCAAGGCU